GGCAUGAAAUGAACUCGAGAUCGAAUUGCUCAUUUAGUAAACGAGCCGAACACGAGCUGAAUCUUUGGGCUCGUUUAAUAAACAAGCCGAACACGAGCUGGGAUCAGCUCGCUCAUGUUCGGCUCAAUAACAGCUCGAAUACAUAUAUUUUAUAUUUAUAUAAUUUAUUUAAUUUAUAUUUAUAUAUAUAAUAAAUAAUUAUAUAUAAUAUAUAUUUUUAUUAUUUAAUUUUUAGCCGAAUAAAAAUAUAAAGACGAGCUCAAUUAUAAAAAUACUUAUUUAUAUGUAACGUUUUAACUAGUAGAUCAAAGUCUAAUGGAUAAGAUUUUAUAAAUUUAUUUUUUAUAUAUAUUCAAUUUAAUCCUUUUAACUUAAUAUUCGUUGGCCAGCUCGUGUUCGACUCGUUUAUUUACGAGCCGGUGCCAGCUCGCUCGAACAAGGCUUGUU
rnacentral:lncRNA from 1 species